UGCUUGCGCAGAAGCAAUCGCCUACGUCCAAGAACUGGAGCCAGAGGAACGCUGUCUCACUCUCCAGCUGUGAGAACUGGGGCAAGUCCUUAACUCACUGAGCCUCCCCGUCUCCCCCCACCAGAAGCCUGUAAUAGGAGAAUGGGAGUAGGCAUGGAGGUACUACAUGUACUAAGAACCAAGAACAUAAUGAAAGGUAAGUUUCCUGACCUAUGGAGCAAAAAGGAUUUCAUCACAAACAUUGGAAAGAAAUGGAACCUAUUUUUUUAAGGUGCUGAGAACCAAAAGAAAUGCAAGCUUUCUCCUUCCGCUUCUGCAACCAGCCAAACUUCUGGGCAUAAGGCUGCUCUCAUUGCAACACCAUAAAAGUAAGACGGGCAGAAGAAAAUGGAUGGAAUAAAUUUGAAAAAUAGAGGCGAGCUCCUGAUCGAACAUUACUGCCGCUCAGGAUUAUGGAGAUUCGGGUCAUCAGCUAACCAGUGUUGCUCAAAGUAGUGUUGAAAUCUCUAGUGGAAAAAGGAUGAAAGGUCAGAACCAGCUGUUUGUGGUACUGGAAUUAUAAGAACCUGAAUGUGAUUUUGAGAAGAGAUGUGCUAAAGGGGAAAAGAGAUGCUCAUUUUUAUAUAGAUCUUAUUAUUUGCUAGCAAAGGCAAGUAAUACCUGGGAGGAGAACAAAAAGAAAAUCUCUCUUAAUAUCUUCCUUAGAAAAAAUAAUCUUCUGUGGACACCUAUGUAUGUGCACGAGAAGGUGCAGCCCAUGGUGGUAGCAGCCAGUUACUACUCUUGUGCCAUGCGAAAAAGGGAGAAGGUUCUGGAGACAUCACUUCUACUUGAAUCUUUCAGCUCUGUACUUAAGCAUGUCUAUUUAGCAUUUUGAAAUACCACUUUCUUUUCCCUGUAACUAACCUCAUAUGUACUCGGGAAUAAGCUACACUUCAGUGUAGUAUAUGUUUCAAGACCUCUUUCCAACUGAGUAAAAAUUUUCUAGAAUUUACAUUCUUACAUACCAUAUUUAGCUCUUGGAGUAACAACAUAAUCUCCCUCAACUGAGUCACUCAUAUAAGUUAUUAAUAAUAUAAGAAAUCUUACUUGAAUAAAUA